rnacentral:rRNA from 1 species
AUUGAACGCUGGCGGCAUGACUUACACAUGCAAGUCGAACGGCAGCAUGGAGAGCUUGCUCUCUGAUGGCGAGUGGCGAACGGGUGAGUAAUGCAUCGGAACGUACCAUGUAAUGGGGGAUAACGUAGCGAAAGUUACGCUAAUACCGCAUACGACCUGAGGGUGAAAGCAGGGGAUCGCAAGACCUUGCGUUAUACGAGCGGCCGAUGUCAGAUUAGCUAGUUGGUGAGGUAAAGGCUCACCAAGGCGACGAUCUGUAGCGGGUCUGAGAGGAUGAUCCGCCACACUGGGACUGAGACACGGCCCAGACUCCUACGGGAGGCAGCAGUGGGGAAUUUUGGACAAUGGGGGCAACCCUGAUCCAGCCAUGCCGCGUGAGUGAAGAAGGCCUUCGGGUUGUAAAGCUCUUUCGGCCGGGAAGAAAUCGCACAGGCUAAUACUCUGUGUGGAUGACGGUACCGGCAUAAGAAGCACCGGCUAACUACGUGCCAGCAGCCGCGGUAA